rnacentral:rRNA from 1 species
GAUCAUGGCUCAGGACGAACGCUGGCGGCGUGCUUAACACAUGCAAGUCGAACGGAGCACCCUUGAAUGAGGUUUCGGCCAAAGGAAAGGAAUGCUUAGUGGCGGACUGGUGAGUAACGCGUGAGGAACCUGCCUUUCAGAAGGGGACAACAGCUGGAAACGGCUGCUAAUACCGCAUGACGCAUUCGGAUGGCAUCAUCUGAAUGCUAAAGAUUUAUCGCUGAAAGAUGG